rnacentral:tRNA from 1 species
GCCUGGGUGGCUCAGUCGGUUAAGCGUCUGACUUCAGCUCGGGUCACGAUCUCGCGGUCCGUGGGUUCGAGCCCCGCGUCAGGCU